rnacentral:rRNA from 1 species
UGCAACUCGACUACACGAAGCCGGAAUCGCUAGUAAUCGCGAAUCAGAAUGUCGCGGUGAAUACGUUCCCGGGUCUUGUACACACCGCCCGUCACACCAUGGGAGUCGGAAAUGCCCGAAGUCAGUGACCUAACCGAAAGGGAGGAGCUGCCGAAGGUGGAGCCGGUAACUGGGGUGAAGUCGUAACAAGGUAUC